GAAGUCUGUGAUGAUGCUAAUUCGGUGUUUGAGUCUCACGGCCAUGAGAACACCUCUUCCAUGCACUACCAUCUGAGACCGC
ensembl:snoRNA SNORD33 Small nucleolar RNA Z195/SNORD33/SNORD32 family